GCGCUGAUGGCCGAGUUGGUCUAAGGCGCUACGUUCAGGUCGUAGUCUCGCAAGAGGCGCGAGUUCGAAUCUCGCUCAGCGCA
rnacentral:tRNA from 1 species